UCUCCUUCCUCCCUCCUUUCUCCUUCCAUACCCCCUCCCUCCAUAUCUCCUCCCUCCCUUCUCUCCAUUUUUCCUCCCUCCAUCUCCCCUCUCUCUCUCAUGGUGUUUUUACAGCUUAUCAAUGGUCUCUAGUCUGUGCUGGAGGUUUCCAUGGCAACUACGGGCAGUUUAAAGGCCUCCAGAAUGCUGAGUGUCUCUCUCUAGGGGAGGUGGAGAGAUCCUAACAGGUGUCCUGUCUCUCUCUAGGGGAGGUGGAGAGAUCCUAACGGGUGUCCUGUCUCUCUCUAGGGGAGGUGGAGAGAUCCUAACGGGUGUCCUGUCUCUCUCUAGGGGAGGUGGAGAGAUCCUAACGGGUGUCCUGUCUCUCUCUAGGGGAGGUGGAGAGAUCCUAACGGGUGUCCUGUCUCUCUCUAGGGGAGGUGGAGAGAUCCUAACGGGUGUCCUGUCUCUCUAGGGGAGGUGGAGAGAUCCUAACGGGUGUCCUGUCUCUCUCUAGGGGAGGUGGAGAGAUCCUAACGGGUGUCCUGUCUCUCUAGGGGAGGUGGAGAGAUCCUAACGGGUGUCCUGUCUCUCUAGGGGAGGUGGAGAGAUCCUAACGGGUGUCCUGUCUCUCUAGGGGAGGUGGAGAGAUCCUAACGGGUGUCCUGUCUCUCUAGGGGAGGUGGAGAGAUCCUAACGGGUGUCCUGUCUCUCUAGGGGAGGUGGAGAGAUCCUAACGGGUGUCCUGUCUCUCUCUAGGGGAGGUGGAGAGAUCCUAACGGGUGUCCUGUCUCUCUAGGGGAGGUGGAGAGAUCCUAACGGGUGUCCUGUCUCUCUAGGGGAGGUGGAGAGAUCCUAACGGGUGUCCUGUCUCUCUAGGGGAGGUGGAGAGAUCCUAACGGGUGUCCUGUCUCUCUCUAGGGGAGGUGGAGAGAUCCUAACAGGUGUCCUGUCUCUCUCUAGGGGAGGUGGAGAG